GAGGUAACUAUUAUCAGUGAGGGUGAGGAAAAAGAAUUUUAAAAAUCCUCCAACAUAUUCCUGAAACAAACCUGAAAGGAAGAUGAUGCAUUAAAAAUAAAACAAAAUCAUUCAUAAAACAAUUUAUGACAUAUGGUAUCUAGAGUUAUUUUAAUCUAUUACAGUUAUUGCACACUAACUUUUAUAAUACCUUAUUUUCUUUCUUCCGUGGUGUAUUGGAGAGGAAGUUGAGAUGUAGACCAGAUGAUCAUGCUAUGGCCUAAAGUCGAGUACAGUGUUUGUUCAUGGCAGCAACAGUGGACAGUGAAAGAAAAACAUGAAAGGGAUACAAAUUAUGUUAACACAUGAGUCAUCAGUAAAAGCAACCUCCACAUAUUAAAAAUCAUCAAUGAAAAUGUUGACUACUGUCAGGGAGAGUGCUGAACCCGUCUGUGAACACCCCCAUUCAGUGAUGAGUCCCCAUUCACAACGACUCUGAAAUCUGUCAGUUAGGCAGUUCUUAAUUCAUUUAAUGUGUGCUUUAUUGAUACAGUAGAGUGUUAAUUUCUAAUCAGAAUGCUUUACAGUACUCAUCAAAUACCUUAAAAUAGUCUAAGUAUGUUACAUCUGCACUGUUACCUUUAUCAACCAAACUUGUAAUCUCUUCAAAGAAUGAAAUCAGGUUUGUAUGAGAACAUAUAAAACUAUGUUGAAUGUCUCUUAAUUCUUUAUCAACUGAAUCCUGUAUCAAUUUUUGCAUUAUUUCACCUGGAAUUCGGGUCAGGCUAACCAACUUAUAGUUACCCAGGUCAUCUCACUUGCUCUUUUUAAAUAUUGGCACAAAACUAUCACUUUUCUAUUCUUCUGGAAUUUUCCAAGUAUUCAAAAAUGUAUUAAAUAUUAAUAUCAGUGGACAAGAGAUCUCCUCAGCCAGCUCUUUUAGGACUCUUGGAUUGAAGUUAUCCAGGCCUGCUGAGUUGAAAAUGUUUAUCUCUAGGAGAUGUCACUCUACUCACAUCUUCCUUAGUUACUAAUGAACUAUAAAGUACUUCAGCAUCCUCAUGUGAUAUGCUAUUUUAUACCACGCUCAUCACUGCAGCAUCUGAGCAC